rnacentral:rRNA from 1 species
CUGACGAGUUUGAUCAUGGCUCAGAACGAACGCUGGCGGCAGGCCUAACACAUGCAAGUCGAGCGAGGUAGCAAUACCUAGCGGCGGACGGGUGAGUAACGCGUGGGAACGUACCCUUUGCUACGGAAUAGCCCCGGGAAACUGGGAGUAAUACCGUAUGUGCCCUUCGGGGAAAGGAUUUAUCGGCAAAGGAUCGGCCCGCGUUGGAUUAGGUAGUUGGUGGGGUAAUGGCCUACCAAGCCGACGAUCCAUAGCUGGUUUGAGAGGAUGAUCAGCCACACUGGGACUGAGACACGGCCCAGACUCCUACGGGAGGCAGCAGUGGGGAAUCUUAGACAAUGGGCGCAAGCCUGAUCUAGCCAUGCCGCGUGAGUGAUGAAGGCCUUAGGGUUGUAAAGCUCUUUCAGAUGGGAAGAUAAUGACGGUACCAUCAGAAGAAGCCCCGGCUAACUCCGUG